CCUACGGGUGGCAGCAGCUAAGAAUCUUCCGCAAUGGACGAAAGUCUGACGGAGCGACGCCGUGUGAAUGAAGAAGGCCGAAAGGUUGUAAAAUUCUUUUGCAGAUGAAGAAUAAACAUAGGAGGGAAUGCCUGUGAGAUGACGGUAAUCAUGCGAAUAAGCCCCGGCUAAUUACGUGCCAGCAGCCGCGGUAACACGUAAGGGGCGAGCGUUGUUCGGAAUUAUUGGGCGUAAAGGGUAUGUAGGCGGUUAGGUAAGCCUGGUGUGAAAUCUACGAGCUCAACUCGUAAACUGCAUUGGGUACUGCUUGACUUGAAUCACGGAGGGGAAACCGGAAUUCCAAGUGUAGGGGUGGAAUCUGUAGAUAUUUGGAAGAACACCGGUGGCGAAGGCGGGUUUCUGGCCGAUGAUUGACGCUGAUAUACGAAGGUGCGGGGAGCAAACAGGAUUAGAUACCCGUGUAGUC
rnacentral:rRNA from 1 species